rnacentral:ncRNA from 1 species
GAGCAUCAAGAGUGGGCGUUAAGCCCCGCCAACCUGCCUAUCCCGGCAAGGUGGUUGAGAGAUGUGGCCUUUCGGGCAACAAAAGGGAU